GUUCACUUCGGCUGCACAUAUACGAAAAAAUUGGAACCAUACAGGGAAGAUUAGCAUGGCCCUUGUGCAAGGAGGGCACACAAAUUUAUGAAUCGUACCCCCAUAUG